rnacentral:sRNA from 1 species
AGCCCUCGGCGCUGUCAUGGCGGCCGGGAGCAGCUUCAGUGGGCACACGACAGCCGCGCGACCCGUGGCGGGGCGAGCUGUGGCAGUAGCAUCCUCACCACUCGCAGCAGCCUCAGCCGCGGCGUCCGUAGCGCCAGCAGCGGCUGCUUUUGCAAAGGCUGAGCGCAGGGGCGGGGCGGGCCAGGAAGCCAUGGAGUUCUGUGCAGCCGCGGACUCCCGGGGAGCGGACUAGGGAAACUUGGAGGCUGCGACCAGGGUUUGGCGUUGUUGUCAGCCUCGGGGAGAGAGAUUGGACAAAUAUUCUCCAAGAGGAGGAGGGCGACGCCAAGGACUUUCCACAUCAACUGCUUUGGGGUAUCUCCACAAGUUGGAAGAGGGACCCUUUCGUUUUGCAUUGCGUGUGUUGUGCUCAUUACCAGUGCAGCGACUGCUGUCCCAGGGUGACUCUGAGUUGUCCUUUCUCGUGAGCUAGCAAUGGCUAGCGAAGACAAUCGUGUCCCUUCCCCGCCACCAACAGGUGAUGACGGGGGAGGUGGAGGGAGAGAAGAAACCCCUACUGAAGGGGGUGCAUUGUCUCUGAAACCAGGGCUCCCCAUCAGGGGCAUCAGAAUGAAAUUUGCCGUGUUGACCGGUUUGGUUGAAGUUGGAGAAGUAUCCAAUAGGGAUAUUGUAGAAACUGUCUUUAACCUGGUAAGUCCAUGAAUAUUUUAUAAGCAUAUACUCUUUUCAGUGGGUUGGGGAACAAGAUCUUAAAGCUGGAGCCAUGUGGUUUACUCACACUGAUGGUGACUUUUUUCAUGUAUAGGGACACAAAAUUCUACUCACCUAAAUGAAACAAUUUCAUCUGUUUUUUAGAUUGAAGGGAAUUGUGCAAACUUAGAUGAUCCAGGUUUUGUGAAAGUGAACACAUCACUUUUGUGCUAAGGAAAUAAUUGUUGCUAUGGAAGUAUUGGGGGGAGGUUCUAGCGGAGGAGUUAUCUCUAAUUUUUUUUUUCUUGGCUUGUAUGCCUAAGUCUGCGUUUCCCUUUACCACUUUAAAUAAUUUCUUGUGACCUUUUUUUUGGACUUGAGAAUUAAUGUCUUUGAUUCUGUCGAAGUUAUGUUUUGCUACAAUAAGUUUAAAAAUUUGUAGUGCUGAUGCAAGAUUAAUUUGCUGCAAAGUUAGUAUUUUUAAUUUUGACUAGUUUUAUUUUUAGACAUAACUAACAAAAGUUAAAUUGGGGAUGAAUUUAGGAUUGCAUUUAAAGUAAUCUUGUGAAAAUUGAAUGGCAAUAUGAAAAAAGGAAUUGAAGCGGAUACAGUAUAAUUUUUAUGUGUUUUAUAAAUUCAUGUCUAGCAGGAAAGCAUAGUUAGUCAUUGGAAGUUGCUGAUUAUACUAAGAUGAGCUAUGAAUGCUUUUUUUUGGGUGGGGGUGGGAGGGGGAUGAGGCCUCUCUAUGUUGCCCAGGCUGUUCUCAAACUCCUAAGUUCAAGCUAUCCUCCUGCUUCAGUCUUAUGAGUAGUUGUGGCUAUAGGCAUGCAUCACUGUAUAGGGCUUAAAUUGUUUUUAAAUUGAGGUAUAAUUCAUAUAUUAUACAAUUCUACCUUUAAUUAAUUCAUUAACUUAUUUAUUUAGAGAUGAGGUCUCACUCUGUUGCCUAGGCUAGUUUUGAAUUCCUGGGUUCAGGCGAUUCUCCCCUCUGUCUCCUAAGUAGCUGGAACUACUGGCAUGCGCCAUUGUUCCUGGCUUGGUUAUCAUUUAUAAUGGAGACUUUUUAGAUUUCUUUAUUCCAGCCUCUCUUGCCCAUCAACUUAAAGAAUCAAAAGGAAAUCUGGCCCUAAAAUACUUCCCCCUUUUCUACCUACCCACCUGUGUUAGAGGAUAACAGGACCAAAUAUAAACAUGCAGUUAAUUGUAAUAACUGUUUAGCACCUUUCCCUUUGCCUCUUUUCAAGGUUAGGCUUGUUUUAUUCUGGGGCAGUUAAUUAUUUCUUUCACUAGACCUUCUCUAAUGGUCUGGUCACCUGCAGUACAACUUCUAGAAUAAGAAAGUAGCUAGAUGGAAUUCUGGCUGGGCGUGGUGACUCACGCCUGUAAUCCCAGCACCGCAGGAAGCCGAGGCGGGCACAUCACUUGAGGUUAGGAGUUUGAGACUGGCCUAGUCAACAUGGUGAAACCCCAUCUCUACUAAAAAUACAAAAAAAUUAGCUGGAUGCGCUUGCUUGUACCCAGGAGGUGGAGGUUGCUGUGAGCCGAGAUCGUGCCAAUGCACUCCAGCCUGGGUGGCAGAGUGAGAGACUGUUUC